GCUGGGUGUGGUGACACAUGCCUGUAAUCCCAGCAACUAUAGAAGCUGAGGCAGGGGGAUUGCAAGUUUGAGGCCAGCCUCAGCAACUUAAUGAGGCCCUAAGCAACUUAGUGAGACCCUGUCUCAA
rnacentral:sRNA from 1 species